rnacentral:rRNA from 1 species
AUUGAACGCUGGCGGCAGGCCUAACACAUGCCAGUCGAGCGGAUGAAGGGAGCUUGCUCCUGGAUUCAGCGGCGGACGGGUGAGUAAUGCCUAGGAAUCUGCCUGGUAGUGGGGGCUAACGUCCGGAAACGGGCGCUAAUACCGCAUACGGCCUGAGGGAGAAGGUGGGGGAUCUUCGGACCUCACGCUCUCAGAUGAGCCUAGGUCGGAUUAGCUAGUUGGUGGGGUAAAGGCCUACCAAGGCGACGAUCCGUAACUGGUCUGAGAGGAUGAUCAGUCACACUGGAACUGAGACACGGUCCAGACUCCUACGGGAGGCAGCAGUGGGGAAUAUUGGACAAUGGGCGAAAGCCUGAUCCAGCCAUGCCGCGUGUGUGAAGAAGGUCUUCGGAUUGUAAAGCACUUUAAGUUGGGAGGAAGGGCAGUAAGUUAAUACCUUGCUGUUUUGACGUUACCAACAGAAUAAGCACCGGCUAACUUCGUG